GCACAUAACUGUUGUCUGCUACUGGCAGGUGGGUGAACAUAGAAAAGGUAAAUAACUAAGUUCUAGAAACUUUUGAGAGAGGGAAAUCACCGGUGAAGUAAAACAUAACAGAUCUUUAGUGUAACCAUCUCGUUUCAACGAGAUGUGCCAAAGAAGUCAGUGCAAGAAGUGUGGAAAGCCCUCCUGGAUAGGGUGUGGUAGACAUAUUGAUCUUGUGUUGCGGGAUGUCCCCGAAGUGGAACGCUGCAAGUGUAAAAAGAGCGGCUGUACCAUUUUGUAGUCCUAAGCAUUGCAGGUCAUCGGGAGGGUUACCAUUCCUGAUGGCCGUCAAACUGAAGGAAACAAUUUGCAACAUUAACACAGCCAUCACCGGUAUAUUUAUGGGAACAUCAAACCGUAAUAGCAAUUAACUGAUCAUGAAAUUGCGUUUGUGAGGGUGAAAAGAUAAGAUAUAAGUCAUUGCCUUAUUAAGGUGCAAACGAAAAAAACAACAUUUUUCUAUUUUAUAUUGGUCUAGAUGUAUCACAGACCACGGUGAACAUUAUUGCUGUGUUAGAGUUAGAAAUGCUUUGACAUUAAGAUCAACAUACUCAUGUAUAUAAAUAACUUUGAUUAUAAGAUGAUAAAUUAUAAAAUUAUCUGAAAAAAUGUAUAUUGAUUUAGUGUGCUUCCUUGAAGCAUUUUAGUGUACUUUGUGCCAUACUUGCUUGUAAUUUGUUGUAAACAAAUUAGAAUCUUACUGUAGUCAUAGAAUAUUGGAAUGAUAAAAUCAAUCAAUAGAAUUAAUCUUUUUCAUUUUUGAACAUAUGCUGACAAAAAAGUGAUUUCCAAAAUGCUCAAAGCUACAAAUGGUGCCUAAGGUUGUUAAGUGUUGAUUCUGUUAUAUAGUUCAAGGUAAUCUUUUCUUCAUAAUUUGGGAAUCAUUUCAAUUAAUAUUAAAAUCAAGUAAUUUUGGAUUUUGUUCCAAAGAUAUCAUGAAUUAUCUAAUAAUUUAUGGGUCAUCUCAUUGCUCUGUUAAACAAACUUGUAUACAAGAGUUAAUUUGAUUUUGCAAAUUUAAAUAUGUGCUUGUGUAAUAUUUCUGGUUCUAGUGCCUUUUAUUUUCAUAUUUUUUACAUUGACACAAUAUUGUAUUUUACCAAGCUAGGUAGUUUCCAUAAUCCAUACAUAUUAUUUAAAGCUCAUUCAAAUUAUUAUUCAUGAUUGGAAAGUGCUGAUAAGGCAGAGAUAUUAUGAUUGUCAAUACUGUCAUACCCUUGGAAUUGAAUGGCCAAAAAUGUGUAUUUUUUAUCAAGCCAUUGGUGGUGUUAAUUUUUUAUGCCUGGUGGGUGGUGAAUCCAUAUUGUAAUUUUGGUAUCAUUUAUAAGGGUGUUGCUCAUUUUUAAGGGUGUUGCGCAUUUAUAAGGGUGUGCACAUUUUUAAGGGUGUUGUGUGCUGAUUUAUGUAAAAUAAAAAGUCAUUCAAAAUUCCCUUUAAGCUUUGAUUAUUAUCGAUAAGAUGGUAGUCUUUGAGUCAAGCCAAUUAUCUGCAGCCGAACCAGUGACAUAAAACCCUUCCAAAUGAUACUGAACUUACAUGGUGCACCAUGCAAAAGAGCUACACAUUAUAUUAUAUUAUGCCAUCUUAUUUGGUGCAACAGUUUUAAAUCUUAGACAUGCUUGUUUAAUCAUUGAAUUUGAUUAUAUAAAAGAGUGUUAAGAUGUAUUUAAGCAUCUUUAAGUUAUUUCAAUUAAGUUUGAUUGAAGAAUAUACAUAUCAGAUUAUUUAAUGGUUGUUUUGAACAUUUGUGUAUUUUCACCCAGGUUUGUGGUUACUUAGUUUUACGACAAUGUAAAGACUCAGGCUCAUACAUACCACUUUUCUACAUUCCAUAUUUCACCAUUGUGUGCUUUUUUCAAUCUUGAUUUUUUAGAAAGAUUUUAUACUUUUGUAUUGUCCCAUGACAGACCACAAUCAGCAACAGUUACUGGUAAUUCCAUUGUACAUGCCUUGAAUAUAUCAACAUUCAUCAUUUAUACAUUCAUUGUUGGUCAGUUCUUUACUCAGGAAUUAUUUUUGAUGUGGUCCAUUCUGUGACAAAGUUACACAGAAACCAUUAAAUUCUAGUACGUGUACAUGUUAGGGACACCUUUGCCCCGAUAGCAAUUAUUUGCCUGACCUGUGGAAUCCUUGUUCACCAAUUCCAGUAUCAUCUUUUUUUGUCCAAGUUAUUUUUUGUGUUCAAAUGAAGCUUAGGAAACUUAAUAUAUUUCUCUGUUAAUGAGCAAUUUAUCAUAAAGAUCGAAAUUGCACCAGGUGCAUAUUUUUAUAACCUGAACAUGAGAUUAUUGAAUUUAACAACUAUAAAAUAUAUAAAUAAUUAAAUAUUAUUUUACCCAAAAACUUGCUUAAAGAGAGCUAUAUGUUUUAUUUCAUAGAAAAAAGAUAUAUAACAUAUUUUGUUGUCAAUCAGUUUGAUGAUUUAUUGAAAAAUUACAAUUUUCAAAAGAGGGUCAGUUAUUGGUACAGUAUACUGUUAUUUCAGUGGAUUUUACCUAUUAUAUUUAGCACACAAGUUAGUUCUUCAAAUUUCCAAACAUCAUAAAUCCUAUCAUACUGAUUUCUACAUUAGGGGACUUAUUUCCUCCCUGUGAAAUUUCAUUCGACAAUAUUGAGAAUUUCUCCACUUAUGAUAUCCAGAAUAACCUCCAUUUCCAAAAGAAAAGGUGUCCCUAACCGGUAUGGUUUACCUUCAGAGUCCACUGUCUCAUUAACAGGCUUUCAAGAAGGUUUAAAGUAAGAUGAUUUUCAAAAGUUGGAAAAAGUAAAGGAUUUGAAGGGUCCAAAUUGGGGAUAGUAGGGCUUUUUACUAAGCUUAUUAAAUAGAUGCUGAACCUUUUCAUUAAUUUUUAUAUACAUGUAGUCCAUGGCUAAUAGUAAUAUUUCGUUAAACUGGAGAAAAAAAUUGGAAAAGAUGUCGUCCAGCUGUGGGGUCUAGGGGCAUUAAUUAAACAGACGUAGUGAACAUGUAUAAUACAAUGCAAUACAUUUUGGCAGUGCUUUUUGAAUGCAUAACUUCUAUAUCAAAUAUAAAAUAUUAGGGAUUAAUCAAAUUUUCAUGUUUUGCUAGGUAUUAUUAUCUGUAUACUAAAUAAUAUGCAACUUUAUUUGAAAAGACAAAUAAGAAUGCAUGAAAUUAUUCUGUAAUAAUUUAUAUUAUGUUUUACAAUAAGUAGGAAUUAUCAUUGUUGGUCUCUGUCCUUUAUAUUGUAUUUGAUUGUUCUAUGUUGUCAUAGUAACAUGUACAGUAACGGUGUAGAAAGAAAAAAAGAGGGGUGAAGUCAGUUUCAUGAAUCUCUGAAAUAGCUGUUGCUUUGAUAUUAAUGUGUAAAUGUCUAAAUGACAAUGGACCAUGUGUAAAUGACUGAAUGGCGUUACGGACAAUGUGUAAAUGACACUAUGGACCAUGUGUGAAUGACUGAAUGACACUAUGGACAAUGUGGAAAUGACUGAAUGACGCUGUGGACCAAGUGUAAAUGACUGAAUGACGCUGUGGACCAUUCAGGACACAUUAUUGCAACAUAAAAAUGUUUCAUAUAUAUACAUAUUAAAAUUAUAGGUACUGUUAUAGCGUUUGUGCUGUAAUCAUCGUUGGUUUACAUUCAAGGCAUUCUUGUGUAACAAUUGAGACGAUUGUUCAGAACAUUGUUAAAUUUAACAAAUCUUAACUUCUCAUAAAGAUUCAUGAUCUCCAGUACUUGACAGAUCUUUCAAAUGUUGAGACAACUAUUUCAGAUGAGCCUGUUUUCUUUAAAUAAAUGAGAAGAGCAUUACAUAUUUCUGCUUUAAAGGUUAACUAUGAUGUUAUUCUGAACAAUCGUCUCUUAAUGUGUGUAAAGUUCCAUUUUUCUGGUUAAUUCGAGCACUUGAUCCAACGAGCGAAAACAGACAUGUGUUAUCUUUGUCUAAUUGUGGACACCAAAUUCUCUAAACUUCUAAGGUCCCUUAUAACAGGAUAAAGCUAAGCUAAAUUAUCACAAUAAAACAUUUUUUUUUUCAUGAAAACAAAUUUAAUUGAUAAAGCUUAAGUCAGUUAAGCUUAAGAAGUUUCAAGAAAUUGGGUGCCAAAUGUUUCAAGUAAGAAAAAUGAGCAUAAGCUUGAUUUAAAUAGAGAGAUGGAAAAGAUGUUUUAAAAUAUGAAUCAGUUGAUAACAUGUUGCUUGCAAGCAUUUUAGCUUUAUAUUUUAAGGUACUCAUUUUGGUAGUUAUGUAUACUAUGUACUGUAUAUCAAGUAAUAGUAAUACUACAGUCUUGUAAUGUUAUGUAAGUGAAAUAUGUUUUUUUAAUAAAAG